UAUAUUACUUUAGUUUAUACAUAUAUCAUAUAUUAUAUAUUACAUAAAUGAUAAAUGUAUAUCGUUUAUACAUACAUGUCUGUGUGUACCAUAAAUAAAAUUUACUAAAUUAAGUUUUCCCUUAAUUUAAACAGUAUAUAUAUAAAAUAUUAUCGUACGUUAUAACUUCUAUUUUCUUUUAACAUAUUUUACAACAUAUUAAAACAGUUAACCUGCAUAGGCAUAAAAUAUACAGAACAUGUGGCUACUAUUAGUUGUAGAUUUCCAAUGACUAAUCCAUGGCAAAUUUCUACUUUAUAACAUGAAGUAAAUUGAAUCAAUUCUAGAGGUGCCACAUAUUCUCAUCCAAUUAAAUUAACCUGCAUACAGGCAAAAAUAUAUGCUCAUCCAAUUAAAUUGACACAUCAUCAUGUAACUUGAGUUUAAAACAGAGGCCAGAUAUUCUAUAUUUUUUUGUCAUCUUAUUUUAUUUAAUUGGCCAAAGUCCAAUAAUACAAACCCAUAAACUCAACAAACGGGAAAACUACAAUAAACAAAAACCACUUGGGCCCUAAUCCUAUUACCUAGCCCGUCAAGAAAGACAAACCGACGUGAUUAUAAACGCGAAACCAAAAACGCCUGUUAAGCCCUCAAUUACGAGGAGACACACAUCACAAUCAAACCUUUUCACCUUCGCCGCCCAGAAAAAUUCACCGCCGGCCAACCAAACACCGUCGCCGGAUAUACCUCGGAGACAAGAGCUUCACCACCUCUCUUCAACACCUUUUAUCCUUCCAUCGGAGAGCUUCCAUCAAAACAGAAUAGAGAUCUCAUCUGAAUUCCUAAAACCACCAUGCACAGUACCCAACGGAUCCGGAAACUACGCCACAUACAUCGUCAUCGCUUGAGCUCCAACAUCGAAGAGCAUCAAUCACCAACCAUCGAUAUCUCAUCCAAUCACCAAGCGAUCAAAACGAAGACAGCGAGUUACACAUAUCGGAUAAAAACCUGAGAAGCCAACUACACCUGAAAUGAUAAGGUCGUAGUCGGAAGCAAAACGCCGACCGCCUUCACCAGAGAAGAAGGUGAUGACGCCAGAGACUGGGCCAGCCAUACAAAACAGAGAACGUCUCCGAUGCUGGAAGAAAAGAUUAAACAAGACUUUGACAUAAAGGAAAUGGUAACCGGCGGCAAAACCCACCGGUCACCAAGCGGAAAACUAUUUUGAAACUUUUUUUAGUGAGAAGUGGGAGCUUUAAGUGUUGUGAUAGAUAAUCUAUAUAUAUAUAAAAUUGUUGGUGUCCCUCAUGUGAUGCCACAUCAGCGCCAGGUCAGAAAGUCGUUUCUCCAGGAGUUGACACAUGUCAAUUAUUCUAAACACACCGUAUCACUAACACGAUUGUAUCAUGGGCUUCGUCUGCUGUUGUGCGAUUGGGUUUUGUAAUGGGAAAUAGAUCUGGCCCGUAUAGAUUGAUGUCACCUCUAACCCUAGAACGUCUGAGGCAAAGAAACCAGGACCGUCGCUCCCCUCCGUGCGGUGGUGAGGCACUGACGUUUAAGCUUCUUUCCACGACCUGAAACGCUCUGAUUUAUGUCUUCGUCUUUAUUCUAAUUGAUUCGCUCUCCACGAUCUGAGAGGCGGUGUAGUUCAGUAUAAAUAUAUGUUAGAUUCCUCUCCUUGAACACAUCUUAUGCCCGUGACGGGUGAGAUUAUAAUUUUUUUCGUCAGAUCAGCUGCGGUCGUAAUCUCUCUCUCUCUCUCUCUCUCUCUUUUUGGUUGUAGUUAUGAUGUGGUUAGUCUAAUGACGUUUCAGGGCUGCUACACGAGAUGCUUGGAUCUACCAAAACAAGAGAUUCAAAAGCUUGGAAGGUGUUUUUGCAUUAGUUCACUUUUUCCUUGACUUUCUCCAUGUGGGAGUGGAAAACAGAAGGUCGUUUCAUCAGAUUUGUUCAUUGCCAACAAAAAAAAAAAGUUGUGUACGUAACACCUUUUGGAAAAUGUCUUCUGCAGCGAUUCUUCAUGUUUUAGCGGAUUUCCUGUUCCUAAACAUAUCCAGGAGGCCAACAAUAUCUACAGAAAAGGAAAAAUUUUAGUUCUCAAAUGAAAGCACUUGCAAACCAUUCCCAUUUCCUAGAGUUUACUCAUACAACAUCACCGGAGAAGAGAUAGGAGGGAGAUGAGGGUUAAGAAUGGAUACAUCGAUGGUAAUGGCAAGAAGUUCUCAUGUGGUGAUUGGUGCCAAGAUUAAUCGGAUACAAGAGCUGACGGACAAUAUAUUGCACGCCAACUUCAGGUCACCUUUACACUGACAAACACGUAAAUCUAAAUAGGGAGUACACAUGUCUCAUCCUCACCAAUCUCUUCCAUCGCACUGCUCUAUUAGCGAGAAUGGUAUAAGAGGCUGAUCAUGAGUUUUAUUCUUCGUCAGCCCCAAAAGGUUGCUUGACUCAGUUUUUGGGAUCUUGACAAAAUCUGUCUAAGCAACCUAAAAGAAAGCACGCAAGUGGAGGUUUCAUUAUUUUGCAAUUUAUGAUGACUUAGAUUCUGGUGAUUGUGUUAACUUUUAGCUUCUUACUGAUUUGAGUUCGUAUAUGGUCAUUUUUCAGUUUUUACUGUUAGUCUGUAUAUUUAUUAGUCUAUCACCUCUUAUGUGAUUUGAGACUUGGUCGUCCGAGAACAGAAAGUCUUCUUCCAAUUCUUCUAAUAUUUUUACACCAUUGUGCAUUUGUAUUUAUUUCCAAAGUGAUGAUGUGUAGAUUCAAUCGAUUGUCUUCUUUACUUGAAUUUCUAGGGAAUGUGGAAGAGCUGGAGUUAGAGGGUAAAUAUGAAUGUCUCAAUGCCAGGGUUGUAUUUCAUGUAUUUUAUGUUUUUGGAAUAUGUGUAUUUUUCUAAAAUCUGAUAGAAGUUGAACUCAUAUGUCAAAUCUGAUAGCUCAUGUCCCUCAUGUUAAAUUGUAUAGAGUGCAGAGUAUAAGACCAUAUAAAUGGAUUGCAUGGAAGCAAAAGUUACGUGACGUGAUCCUCAAUGACUAAGAUAACUAUGUCGUCCAUCAUCAUCACUGUUGGAUAACAAGUUGUCCGUCCUGAUGAUGUAAAAUGAAUCAUACAGAUUCUCUAAUAACCAGAUAAUGAAAAACCUAUGAUCAAAAGGAAAAGAGAAUAUAAUUUAGAAAACAAAUUUUAAGUUAUAAUUAUUUCAAAUCCUGCAAUAUAGAAUUUAUUUUUUGUAAUAUAAUUACAUUAUAAAAUGCACAGCGUAGGGGCAGACAUAAUGUAAAAGAUGUAUCACCAAAACAUGUGAUUGAGUUGCAGAGACAGAAAGAACAAAAUACAACUCAAACUGUGAAAAUCUUAAAUUAAAAUCAAGCAAUCAAAAUCCAUGAUCCUAGACUUUUUUUUUCCAUGAUCCAAGACUUGAUUGGUUUGCUUUUUUCUUUUUCCGUUACAAUAAUUCUACUACUUAUUACAAAACUUUGCCACUACAUUAUAAAGGUUUGGGUAAACAACAUACAAAAAAUUAAAGAAAAAGAGCUGCUUAAAGCUUAAUUAUUAUUAUUUCUUUGUUAAAAAGCCUAAUUUUUGCACCUAUGUUCAACUAUUAUGAAGGCUGUUUGGGAGACAGAUCUACACGUGUUCACAAUACAGAUUUUACCAUAUCAAAUUUUAAUUAUUUAUUUAUUUUAUUAUUUUUUAAGAAACUUGGAGAAGUUCUCCCGAAAAUGAUGUCCUCUCACAGGAUUAUAAUUCAUUCUCAAAAAGUUCACCUACAAGGUUAUUUUUGAAAGUUCACAAACUUUUCAAGUAUGAUCCCUCUCCACUAUUUUCCUUAGUAUGCACAUACUAAUUUGAUCAACAUUCUAAUAUAUUUAUAUAUAUAAACUACAUAAUCUUUUACAUGUUCAAGAUGUAAUGAUGACAAUGCAAUUGGGGUAGUUGGGUUACUUAGGUAAUGUAUUCUCGCAGUAAUUGCAGAUAUUGUUUUCUCAUCCAAUUUGUAUUGUCACCUAAGCUUCACUAACAUAUUUUAACCAUGUCAUUGUAAAGGAUCAUAUACAGUAUUGUCACUGACUCUGUAUAAAUUCUUUACUCUGAAAAAUAGAGAGUACUGAAGAUUAGUGUCACUUUAAUUUAAACAAAAAAUGAUUAUUAAAAAUAACAAUACGAUCUCAUAAUUCUAUUCAUUAUUUAUUUGUUUAUAAUAUUAUUUUUAAUCUACAAUGUUUUUAAAAUGUUUCAUAAAUUUAAUGUAAAUUCGUAUAUAGUUUUUAUAACUUCUAUAAAGGACGGAGAUUCUCUUUAACAUACGAUUAAGUAUUAAACCAGUGUGUUUUUCUUUGCUUUUUAUUAUAAUUGUAACAUCUAGAAUUUAAAAUCUCCCAAAACCGUUCAGUUCAGAUGAAUGACUAUAAAAGUCAGUGUAUGAGAUUAAGUAAGAAAAUAUUUACUUAAUCUAUACAAGAAUUAAUAUUAUAGGAAAAAAAACAAACAAUUUUAACACUGAAUCAAAACCGCAACAAGGCUUAAACAUUUUUGUACAUUGGCAAACAAAAACUGUGAUAAAGGUAACUAUCUCUAUGCCAUAAUUUUGCUAAGCACAUGAGAACACGAAGAAUGCAUGAAAUUUGUGGAUCACCAUGAACAGCUAACCCACAUAUAUGGAGCUGACAAAUGCUGAGAUAGAUCAAACCUUCCUUAUGCGACAUCUCUAUAUUGAAAAAGAAGUGUUAUGGAACUAAUGUGAUCUUUACAAUGCCACCAAGAAAGUGGCAUCUCAAUAAUCUAGAAAAUCGAUACAGUGAUUCUUAUUACUAUUAGCAAAUGGAAAAAAAAUUGAGUUGGUUUUACGGUGCUACACGCAUCGACCACUACUCAGUUUUCACAUUUUCAGUUUCAAUGUUUUUUACUUUAAUCAGCUUUGCAUUACUACCUUCUUUUCAUUUAAUAUGACAUUUUAUUUUUAGUAAGAAAUGCAACUUCAAAUAAUCAUCACUUCCACUCCAAUAUCAUGUCAAAAGACUAUGAUUUCAGCAUAAAAAGUAAAUACUUUUAUAAAAUACAUAAAAAACUACCGGAACCCAAUCCUUCGAACCCAAAUUUUACGAGCCACAAAUAACGUAUCAAAUAUGGGAUCAAAUUUUUGUAAAAAGAAACAAUACGAAGACCAUUUGAAGUCCUCACAUCAUAUCAACGACACAACUUUUUAAUAUAAAAACAACUAUUAUAAACAAACAAAAUAUAUCUUAUCACAUAUAAUCUCUCUUUACCUAUAACUUUUGAAAAUGCAGACCUAAAACACAAACUACAAAACCAUACAAAAAAUAAUAACCUAGAUCACAAAUAAAGUAUAUCCCGCCCGUAGGGCGGGCCGACCCUAGUGCUAAGUAUAUUUACACGUUAGUUACACGUUGAUAUUCUACAUUCUUUUUCUUUAUUUUGUCCCGACCUAAUUUGUUUUAUAUUACUGUCCUAACAUGCCCACAUUAACUGUCUCAUUAACUUGUGUGUUUUGUUUAUCACCAGCCCAUUUCAUAGCCCAAAUCAAAACAAAUAUACAUAAUGCCCUCAUCCAAUAUGCGUUCACCUAACCUUCCCCAUCUCCACACUAUAAAUCCAUUCUGGUUCUCUCACUGAUACUCAACAUACAGAGCCGGCACUUACAGAAACGGAUGAAGCCCAUGUUUCCAGCCACCAAAUAUUAAGUAUGAUACUAGCCAAUAUUUUAUCAAAUGUUUCUUUAGAUUUUUUUUUUUUGAUAAAAAAUAUUUCUUUAGAUAAGUUUUUUAUUUAAUAAACAUUGGUCUAUUUAGGGUUACAGGUUAGAAAGCUUCCUUCUACUACAUUUGAUAUUCCUUUUUUAUCUGUAAUUAAUAGGCCUUUUUUUUGUUUUUUCCUCCUAGCCUACUGCUUUCUAAGACCGGCUCUGUCAACAUACUCGGUUAAAAAACACACCCGCAACUCCAUGGCUCUGAAAUCGAUCUCCACGGCUCAUGCUGCUAUUUCCUUCAAGGAUGUUCUUCCCGCUUUUCAGUCCCGUAACACAGCGAGAGGAGGAUUGCUAAUUGGUCUGCUCAUCGAUAAACAUGUGAUGGAGGUGUAGAGAUAGUACAACGUGAAGAUCAAUCAGGUCGUGAUGAAAAUAAUACAACAAGAAUGUUGCAAUGCGUCAGAAUUUAUCUGAUUUAAGUUAUCCCUUAUAUAUUAAUUGAAAAACAUUACAACAUUGUUUUGUAUCAAAGUGUCACCAUGAGUAUAAAAUUCAGAAUUAUAGAAAAAUAGGUUGGUCCAUCUUAACUUAUAUUAUACUUUUUAUUAAACUAACUAUCAAAUUGAUAAAUAAUGUACAAAAAAUAUUCUCACACUUUCCUUAAAUAAAAGCUAUGAAAUUACCUAAUAUGAUUAAUAUAUAUAUAUAUAUAUCAAUUAAUGAUUAUGAA